AGUGAACGCUGGCGUUAGGCCUAACACAUUCAAGUCGAACGGCAGCACAGUAAGAGCUUGCUCUUACGGGUGGCGAGUGGCGGACGGGUGAGGAAUACAUCGGAAUCUACUUUUUCGUGGGGGAUAACGUAGGGAAACUUACGCUAAUACCGCAUACGACCUACGGGUGAAAGCAGGGGAUCUUCGGACCUUGCGCGAUUGAAUGAGCCGAUGUCGGAUUAGCUAGUUGGCGGGGUAAAGGCCCACCAAGGCGACGAUCCGUAGCUGGUCUGAGAGGAUGAUCAGACACACUGGAACUGAGACACGGUCCAGACUCCUACGGGAGGCAGCAGUGGGGAAUAUUGGACAAUGGGCGCAAGCCUGAUCCAGCCAUACCGCGUGGGUGAAGAAGGCCUUCGGGUUGUAAAGCCCUUUUGUUGGGAAAGAAAAGCAGCAGGUUAAUACCCCGCUGUUCUGACGGUACCCAAAGAAUAAGCAACGGCUAACUUCGUG
rnacentral:rRNA from 1 species